rnacentral:lncRNA from 1 species
CCAAGAAAAAUUUCAAUGCCAAAAGAAAAAUUAUUAGCACCAAAUGCAAACAUCCACAACAUUUUUUUGUAAACGUACGAAAGCAUUUGCAUUUACAAUGCCAAAAGCAAAAUUACCUUGUAAUAUACCAACAUCGCACAGCCCUUGAAUAAUCCAAGCGUUAGAGACAAAAGAAAAGCUGAGAGUAGAUUGAAACCUCUCUCAAUUUUGAGCACAAACUUUCUUAACAAUCUCUUGCAAUUUCUCAUCUUUACCUUCUCCAAUUCUUAGUUCAUCAUGCAAAGCAUAAAUGAUAUCGGAAUUAACCACGAAUUCUCUCCUGCACAUCUCCUCCAAGAAAGGAAUCGCCUCAUGCACCUUUUUGCUCUUCACCAGAUUCCACACAAUAAUAUUGAACGUCACACCAUUAGGCGCGCAGCCGCUCCUCUCCAUCUCCUCAUCAACCUCCUAGCCUCCCUUCUCGCCCUUCAUUGUAGAGUAGAGUCGAGCAUCAUGCUGUAGAUUUGUACGUUCGGAUUUAAGCCAUUGGAACAGAGAUGGUUGAAGAGCCUUAUAGCUUCAUCAAGUCUUUGGCCCUUGCACAAGCCGUUGAUCAGAACACCGUACGUUACGAUAUCAGGAUUCACGCCUUUCGCCUCCAUCACCCUCAAAAAUGCCAACGCCUCACUAAUCCGAUGGAUCCUACAAAAGCCAUCCAACAAAAUGGUGUAGGUGUGGGGAUCCGGAUGUAUAUUAUGAGCUUCCAUUUCUUGGAAAAGCUUCCACCCAUCUGAAAAACUACUUAGGCGUAUUAGCCCAUGCAUCAUCGUGUUGUAUGAUACAGUCGAGUGUUGGAGACCUACGCACGAAAUUUCAUCGAAGAAACGCCAUGCUUCAUCAAGGUUUCCCGCCUUGCAGUAUCCCUUAAUCAAGAUACAAUAGGUGAAUAUAUUGCGAUUGAUCCCCCGUCUCCUGCCAGUAGAAUAAGAAAGCUCUCUAGCUCUAACCAUCUCGCCAUGCGAGCAAUAUCCAUCUAUCAAUAUGCUGCAGGUGACAACAUUAGGCGAGAUGCCCCUUCUCCACCAUCUCGGACAGCAGCUGCAGAGCUUCAUCAACCUUCCACUCUUCGACAACCCAUCCAAUAAUGUAUUAUAAGUGUGCACAUCAUGCUGGAGACCUUUAUCGGGAAUUUCAAGAAAAAUAAGCCAAGCUUCAUCCAUGCUUCCCUUCUUGCAAUAUCCAUUUAACAAGGUGUUGUAGUUAACAAUAUUGGGUUUAAGGCCCCUCUCUACGAUGGAAUCAAGUAACUGUUUCGCUCUUCCGAUUUCACCCUUUAGGCAGAGCCCUUCAAUAAGCGAAGAAUAAGUGAAGGCAUUCGGACAAAUAUGUUGUUGCAUCAUAAUUUCCAGCAUAUUCUCAGCCGCUUCCAUCUUUUCUUCCNAAGAUGAUUACAAUUAACUUGCUAACUACCGUCUACUGUAGCUAACUAACCUCUGCUGUAACUAACUAACAGAAACUAAGGCAACAAAAUUAACUUUGCUGCAACAUUUCAAAUAUACUCCAAUAGGCGAUGGUGCCGCAUAUCUGAGCCAGCUUGACGUCCCUGUGCUCCCGGCUGAGUUUCCGUGGGACACCAAUGUAGCCCUUACACAAAGGCUUCUUCGCAGUCUCAGCUUCCCUGUAAAAAAUUUAGACACACUGUAAAGGAAAUUCACUUUAAAUGUGUGUACAACGAAAGGAUAUUAUAUGAUUUGCACAAUUUGCCAAGAUUUAAAAGUCAAUUCGAGUCGUAGACAUCUCCAAGAAAAAUUCCAAUGUCAAAAGCAAAAUUACUAGCAGCGAUUGUACAAAAGCAUUUGCAUUUACAAUGCCAAAAGUAAAAUUACCUUCAUACGUACACACCCUUGAAUAAUCCAAGCGUUAGAGACAAGAGAAAAGACUGAGAGUAGAUUGAACCUCCUCAAUUUUGAGCACAAACUUUCUUUAAAAUCUCUUGCAAUUUACUCAUCUUACCUUCUCCUUCUAGUUCUAGCAAUGCAAAAUGAUUCGAAUUACCAAUCUCUCCUGCACAUCUCCUCCAAGAAAGGAAUGCCUCAUGACUUUUGCUCUUCACCAGAUUCCACACAAUAAUGUUGAACGUCACCAUUAGGGCGCAGCCGCUCCUUCCACUCCUCCAUCAACCUCCUCGCCUCCCCUUCCGCCCUCAUUGUAGAGGAGUAGCAUAUGUGUAAUUUGUACGUCGGAUUUAAGCCUUGAAGAGAUGGUUGAAGAGCCUUAGCUCAUCAAGUCUUGCCCUUGCAAAGCGUUGAUCAGAACACCUACGUACGAUAUCAGGUUCACGCCUUCCCUCCAUCACCUCAAAAAUGCCAACGCUCACUAAUCGAGAUCCUACAAAGCCAUCCAAAAUGGUGUAGGUGUGGAUCGGAUGUAAUUUGAGCUUCCAUUCUUGGAAAAGCUUCCACCCAUCUAAAAACUACUUGGCGUAUUAGCCCUGCCAUCGUGUUGUAUGAACAUCGAGUGUUGAGACCUACCCGAAUUUCAUCAAAAACGCCGCUUCAUCAGGUUUCCGCCUCAGUAUCCCUUAAUCAAAUAUAGGUGAAUAUAUUGGUGAUCCCCGUCUUGCCAUAGAAUGAAAGCUCUCUAGCUCUAACCAUCUCGCCAGCGAGCAAUAUCCAUCAUCAUUGCUGCAGUGACAACAUUAGGCGAGAUGCCUUCUCCACCAUCUCGGACAGCAGCGCAGAGCUUCAUCAACCAUCCACCUUCCAACCCAUCAAUAAUGUAUUAUAAGUUGCACAUAUGCUGAGACCUUUACGGGAAUUUCAAGAAAAAUAAGCCAAGCUUCAUCCACUCCCUUCUUCAAUAUCCAUUUACAAGGUGUUAGUAACAAUAUUGGGUUAAGGCCCCUCUCUACAUGGAAUCAAGAACUGUUUGCUCUUCGAUUUCACCCUUAGCAGAGCCCUUCAAUAAGCGAAGAAUAAGUAAGACAUCGGACAAAUAUUUUGUUGUCAUUAUUUCCAACAUAUUUUCAGCCCUCCAUCUUUUCUUCCUUACAUAUGCAUUAAUCAUGGAUUAUAAGACAAUGUCAGGUAAAAUACCUUCCCAACCAUUUUGGUUAGAACCUUGAAGGCAUUGUCCACCAUUCCGCCCUUGCAAAAUCCAUCAAUUAGUGCACUAUAAGCCUUAACGUUGGGACUCCACCCACUACUUUCUAAUCUAUGAAGCCAAUCAUGGGCUUCAAUGACCUGUCCAGCUUUGCAAGCCCAUCAGUCACAUGCAGAAUCAUAACAUCACUGGGCUCACAAAGUUUUAAAUCCAAAAUCUUUUCGAACAGUUUCACGGCUUCAGCCUCCUUAUUAACUAAGAAUAACCCUUUUAUGAGAGUGCCGAAAGUCACGACAUUUGGUUCGUGACCUCUCUUGAGAAAGAAUCCCAUUAUAGAAAAAGCAGAAUAUAUAUCUUUCAAGAGACAACAACAGUUGACAGCAAUACUCAUUGUGUAAAUAUCAACCGAGACACCCAUCCUAAGCAUUUCAUCGAACACAUCAAGGGCAAUAUAAUACUGCUCAAUCGUUACACUAACACUCAUGAGUUUGUUAUACAGGCGAACAGAAGGCUCUUGCCGAAUACUCUUUAUUUUUUGAAACAAUUGAAUAACAUCGUCUACUUCUUUAACACUACUGAAAUCGAUUCUAGACCGCUUAGGUUGAAAAGCCUCGGAAGAGAAGAGAGAGAACAGAGGAGAGAGAAUACCCGAUUGAUGCUGCGACCAUCGAUUGAGAAAUCCUCUUUGAUGAAUGAGAUCAAUUGCAGAAGCUGAAGCUCUUCUGGCCAUCAUCCUUAAUCGGUCAGGUUGGGAUGAAUGGAGUUUGCGAUUUUACUGAAAAUUUUAUGCUGAUUUGUUUUUUAAAACUGUAGGCUGAUAUUUUAAGGACAGAUUGGGCCUGCUUUAUUAAAAGAUAUUGGGCCCUAUUAUAUAAUGAAUUGGGCUGCGAAUUAUUUAGGAGUACCUAUUUAUUAAUUUAUUAAUUAAGUUUAAGUUAUUAUUUAAGUAGACUCUAAUUUGGGUUCGACUAAUUAAUUUUCUAAACAAUAAAACUACAUAAUAAUAUUAUGAUGUGCAUAUAUAUUAAGUAUAAUUACUUAUUAUAUGAGUUACGCAUGAAAUGAAAUUGCAUUUGCAUUUUGCAAUAAAAGCAUUUAUGAUUUAAAUUGGCUUAUUUAUAAAUCCAAUCUAUAUCUAUCUAUAUCUAUAUAAUAUAUAAAAGAGGAGUUUUCUCCCUCCAUUUUUCUCUCUCUCUUCUCCCAUCAAUUUUUUUACUAUUUGUUUUUUUUUUAUAAUAUUAAUUUUUUCUAAAAUUCAAAUUUAAUUUAUGAAAAAAUCAAUUGCAUUUUAAGUUUAAGUUCUAACAAUUUUAAUAUGUAUAAAAAUAUCAAAAAUGAAUUACAACGAAUAGUUAUUAAAAUUUUAAAUUAUAUUUAUUCUUUCUCUUGUAUUUAUAUAUUAUUUGAUAAUGUUACUAUAUUAUAAUGUGAUAUAUUUGUAUGAAAAUUAAAAUAUUAGUAUAUAAUUAUUGUACACUUUAUACAUAGUUGAAAAUUACGUUUUUAAAUUCGAGAUUUUAUUGAGUUAUUGAUAUUUUAUUUUAAAAUCAUAUUUUGCAUUUAUUUAUAUUUUGAUUAUGUUUAAUAUUUAUAUUUAUUUAUUUAAAAUGUCAUUUAAUUUCGAUUUUAUCGUGCAUCGCACGAAUGGACGUACUAGUAAUAUAUAAAAGAGGAGUUUUCUCCCUCCAUUUUUUCUCUCUCUUCUUCCAUCAAUUUUUUUACUAUUUUUUUAUUUUUUCUUUUUAUAAUAUUAAUUCUUUUCUAAACAUUGUCAAAUUUAAUUUAUAAAAAAAAAAAUCAAUGUGCAUUUUAAGUUUAAGUUCGUCAGAAUAUUUAAUAUGGUAUAAAAAUUAUCAAAAUGAAUUUAAACGAAUAGGUUAUUAAUUUUAAAAUAUUUUAUUUUCUUUGGUAUGCGGUAUGGGAUAAGGUGAGAUAUAUUUGACUAGGAUGUCUUUUACUAUACGUCAUAUUAAUAUCAUGUUUGGUAGAAAGUAUUAAAAAAUAUGUAAAAUAUAAUAUGUUGUUUGGUGUGAUGUAUUAAGAUUAUGUAAAGUUAAUAAUAGUUAUAAUUAAGAUUUGUAUUACGUAUACCACCUUUGUAGGUGGUAUACAGAAUCCCUCAAAUCAGUAUAAUAUUUUCGGGCUUUUAAUUUAUAAAGGACCGUGUGUUUCGUACUACUUCUUACUAAGCAAAAUAUUAAGGUGUCAUAAGUAGAUUAGUUGUUACUAUUAAUUAAAUAAAUUUAAUUUGUGUUUUAUUCUUUACAUGUGCAAUAUCUCACGCACAUAAAAAUAAUACUACAUGCAUGUUGAUGAUUGAUUUGCAUCAUUCGAUAUAUUUUUUUCAAUUGACGGGGCAUUGCCCAUUCUAAAGGAUACUUUGUCCUAUUAUUUAGGAUAAACUGGUUUUCAUGUUUAUUCCUUUGAAUUAGUCACACCUUGAUCUGUAGUUAUUCAUUUAAAAAUUGGGGAGUGACAAGAAAAAAAUGAAAAUUUUGCCUCUCCGGUGAUUCGAAUUAUUUACAUCAAAAUAAUAUAUUCACCAUAAAUCUUCAUGAUCGAAUUAUUAAAAAUGAUUCUCACAUUCUCAAUUUUAAUAGUGUGGUUCAAAUAAGAAUUUCUUAUAGUGAGAACUACGAGAACUCACUGAACCUAUACUAAAGUAACUAUAUUAAACUCUACACUCAUCAAAUAUCACGAAUUUAGAAUUUUUUUUUCUUACUAAAGAGGAUCAACAAUGGUUUCUUAUUUCUUCCGUGGUGACUCAAACCCCCAACCUAGUGAUUAAUUAGAGGGGAAGUGUCUUAUUAACCGAGUUGUGUUUCUUUAUCUUUUUUCCAAAUGAUUGUUACCGGAAGAGAAAAACACACUCACGUCAUAUUCUUAAUUAUUUUAUAUUUAAAAUACAGACGCUAUAAAUAAGUCUCAAAAAGUUAUAACCAAAUCACAUAAAAUUCACAAUAAUCUUCAAUUUAAAUUCUUUUACAGGUUAUGGCAUCCAUCAAAUCAAAUUAUAUCUACUUGUAUUCUUGCAGUUUGUACAAUUCUACUACAAAGAUUUUUCCAGCGACCGAAGAGGUGAGAGUGUGAGUGAGAAAAAAAAAUCCUUAAUCCUGGAUCCUUUUCUGUUUUUUCAUUUUCUCAUUGGUUAUUACGCACGUGAUAAACAGAGAGGUGAGAGAGAGUCGGUGAGAAAGAAAAUAUCUUCUCUUCACUUGAAUCUAUUUGUCGUUCAAUCUUAUUGCUACUGCAGCUCCACAUUUUCCGUCAAAUAUUACAAAACGUAAUGUAUACCCACUUAUAUGACGGUUCAAAAGUGUCAAGUAUAUUUUUAUAAACGUCAUGAUAGCCUACAUAUAUAUAAUACCAAGAAUUGUUAUGUUCUAUGUUAUACAUGACAGUCAGAAAGCGUCAAGAAAAAUGUAAUACCCCGCCAUUUUCUUUAGUAUUCUUUAUUAUAAGAGUUGCAUCAAUAAGUUAACAUAAGUUGGUCAAGAUUGUUAGGGAUUUAUUGGCGGAAUUAGGGUUUCAGUUUCACUUUAUGUAAAUAGUAUUUGAAUCCGAAAAUAGUCGGAUUCUUCUAUCUGAGUUUUAUCAAUGUGAUUUUUGUAAUUUUAGAUGGUUAUUAAUUUUAUUCGGGAACAUAUCCUGAGUUGAUGGCAUAGAUCUAUUUCCACUUGAAUUGACACAAGAAAUCAUGAUUUUCUAAUAGUUUAGAAUAAGUGAAUUUGGGCAUUCUUGAGGUAAGAUAGCUAAAUAGUUGAUGCUUAUAUAAUUGAACUCUUGGGAGCGUGGAAUGUGAUUAUAUGAUAGAAAUUGGGCGAUAUUGAGCAUGUUACUAUGUGUUGGGCCAAUUUUAGUUUAAGAAUAAGGGAAGAACUACUUUUAAUAUUGAUUGGAGAAGUUGUGGUGAUUGAUUGUGUUAUAAUUUGCUUGUCAUAUGUUGAUGUGGUAAACGUGAGUGAAGUUUUAAGUUAAAGCAUUCUAACAUGUAGCAAGAUGAUGUAAUUGGAUCUCCACUCUCUUAUGUGGCCAAAAUAUGAGAUGUAUGUUAAGUUGCAACAGAAAAUGUGUUGCUGUCAGGUUUAGCUGGAUGAACCAGUGUCUUGUGAGGGGUUUUCGGGAGUGUUCCUGUGGUCCAAAUGACUUGAAAUUUUUACAGUGAUAACUUCGUUAUGAGUAUUAGAUCUCUGCAAAAUUUCAGCUGAAUCCGAGACCUCUAGAUAGGUCAAACAAUUUUCUUAAAAGUACUGCGCGAAGCAGCAAGGUUUUGUGGCAGAUUCUGCCUUUCGUGAGAUAAUUUCAUAUACACUUGAGAUAUUGUAUUUUUGUAAAUUUCUCAUAAAUAUAAACUUUAAUAGCUUUCUAAAAAGGUAAAGCUCGUAUUUUUCCUUGAAGCGAUUGAUUUUAUGUGAUUUUUCAAAGUUAGGAUUCAAAUGUGUGUGUUUCUUAAACUUGUGAUUAGUAGUUAAUUGAGAUCCUAAACUACUAAACUUGAAUUGAGGUUUUAUUGUUCUAAUUACCUAUUGAGGAUUAUUGAUUACUAAAGCUUGUUGAUAUGAUAGUUGAUGGACAUAAUUAUACUUAUAUGAUUAAUUACUUCGGGAUUUUGUGUUUUACAUCCUCACUUAAGUGAAGUGACCUGGGUUCGAUCCCUCUUGGGAGCGAAUUGGAGAUUGGAGAUAUAAGGUGGAUUUUGGUGAAUGGAGAGAUAAGGUGGUUCUUGGAGUGGAUGGGGAACUAACUACUAACAUCUAACAUGACUUUGCCCGAUCAAAAAAAAAAAAAAAAGUUGUAAACUGAUCUCUAUGGAAUGGAUUUGUUUACUUCUAAAUUUUCUCAAGUAGAGGAAUUCCUAUAAGAUAGAAUAUUAGUUUAUACUUUCUUAAAGUUCAUAGAGUUAGUUUACUGAUUAGUCUAGUUGAUGCAACCCUAGCUUUGCAAGAAAUUAGAAGUUUAAUUAGGCUGUUACUCCUAUUUCUUCUUAUCUAGUUAUUCAAUCUUAUUUUAGAAUCUUGCUAUUAUGAAGGUGACAGUAGCAAUCCUAGAUAAGUGAGCAAGAGUUUCUACAUCGUUAAACGUAUCAGGUGGACUUUCUAAACUCAGAAUUUGAAGUGCGCACUAUUUAAUUAUGUUAUUAUAUGAAUGAUGUUAUAUUAAAGUGAUUGACUUGCCAAAACUUUUAUGAGCUUGUAUGUUACCAUCUACGAGAGAUAGACGAUAUCGGCCCUAUGCUGAAGCGAGAUGUCAGUAAGGGUUUGUGCACAUAGUUGUGACCGUGAGUCAUCGAGCGGGUUGGCCGGUCACUGUGAUCGGGAGCCUUCGGGCCGAUCACUGUGUUUUUGAAGGAGGCCUACUUCUCAACACAAGGUUACAUAAUGCGUAGUUAUGGUACAUACAUGUUAAUUGUCUGCAUACGUAUAUGAUAUUAUGAUGAUAUAUAUAGAAGUUUUACAGUUUUGCAGUCCUAUUGUCUAGCAAUGUUGCACAUUAUAGGUUUGGAUUCAUUUUUUUAUGUGAAUAAUUAUUUACAGACAUAUUCAUCUUUUUUCUUUCUUACUAAAAGUUAUCGUAAAGAUAUAAAAAUUAGAUUGGAAGAUAUAGAAUGAUGAAAAGUAAAAGAAGAAGACACGGCAUAAAAAAAACCGUUUUUACACUACAAAUCACAUGGGCUCACAUAACUUUACACACUUUUACACUACAAAUCACAUGAGCCCACAUAAAAAGAGAUUAUUUGCGGAAGUCUGUGACAUGAUUGCUAGGAUCAAUCGAAAAGAGAAGAUGAUAAGAUCACGAAAAUCGCAGAUCUUAUUUGAUGGAAACUGAUACCAUGCUAAAGGAGAAGAAUAGCUAUGAAAACUGCAAAGAAUUUGUGGAGAAUGUAAUUUUCAUAUAUCGAAAUCAAAGAGAAAGAAGAUUACAUAUUGUAUUUAUACAAUAGCUUGCGUAACAAGAUAGCUAACUGUGUAACCAACUUCUUAACCUUCUUAACUAACUAUUUAACAGCAAAAGGUUAACAUAAAUAAGCUAUGCUAAGUUGCUGCGACUGAUACUCCAAUAAACAUGGUAUUGAGCUGCUAAAUUUUUUCUCGAUCCUUGUGUUUUCUGCGUCCGCUUCAUCACGAUCUCUCAAACUCGACGGUUACCUUCAUUCCAGUUAUGUCUUCCUCAUCUCCAAACAACUCCACACUUCCACAAAUGCAUCCAAUUACUCUUAAAUUGGAGUGCAAUAACUACAAUUUCUGAAAAUUUCAAGUGCUCGCAACUACCGGAGCCUAUGGUUUUGAAGAUAUCUUACUUCAAAUCGAAUCUCCUUCUCAGUUUCUGGAGUCUACUUCUGCAGAAACCAAUCCAAAUCCGGUUUAUAUUGCUUGGUUGCAUCGUGAUCAGUUUAUGUUUAGCUGGUUACUCUCUUCUAUUACUCCUCAAAUGAUGGAGUAUAUUGGUCGUUGUACAACAUCGGCUCAAAUUUGGAGUGCUUUCGAGACCUUGUUUCAUUCACAAUCCAAGGCUCGAGCAAUGCAGCUGCGAAAUCAACUUCAACUAAUGAAGAAAGAUCAUGAUGCCACUAUUGAUGAAUACAUUCUCAAAUUCAGAGAAAUCUUUGAUCGACUGUUCAACAUAGGCAAGCCGAUCUUUGAAUCAGAUCUCAUAUCCUAUACUUUUCAAGGAUUGGGAGCUGAAUUUGAGAGUAUAAGUGUGUUACUCUCCUCUAGAUCUGAUGAAAUGAUCAUUCAUGAAGUGCAAUUUGCACUGCAAACUCAUGAACUUCGAUUAUAGAAUCAAGCAUCUGUACUCACUACUAUUGUAAAUCAGACACUUCAACCGUACGUAGGCAAAUAUUGUUUAUUACUAUAGAAUUUUGGUGGUCAUGGUGGCAAAACUGGCAGAGGUUCUAGCAACCGUGGAAGAGGAGGAGGUAGGUUCUCCUCAAACAACAAGCAGGUUUGCCAACUUUGUGGCAAAUCUAAUCAUGUAGCAUUAAAAUACUACAAAAGGUUUGAUGUAAGCUUCACUGGACCCGAGUCCAUUCCACCUCCUACACCUCAAACACAAGUUCAUACUGCUUCUAUUGAUUUUGUUCCUAACACCUACAUGCUGCAACAUACUUCUUCUCAGGUUGCUAGAUCUCAAACCACUCAACAUUCUCCAUCUGCUUUCACUAUAGCAUCUGUUACUCCUCAAUCUAAAUUAGAUUGGUAGGUGGAUUCAGGAGCUUCAGCUCAUGUUACUCCUGAUCUGAGUAACCUUAAAAACCAAACUCCUUAUCAUGGCAAUGAAACCAUCACAAUAGGUAUAGUAAUGGCUCCAAACUUCCUAUUAUACACAUAUUGGCUCUACUGUCUUACCUUGCACUACUUCUUCCAAAACUCUCUCUCUCAACGACAUCUUAUUUGUUCCACACAUUACUAAAAGCCUUCUAAGCAUAUCUCAGUUAACAUCUGAUAAUAAUGUCUAUCUCGAAUUUCACUCCAACUUUUGUUUUGUCAAGGACAAUAUUACACAUCAAACCCUACCGGAAGACAGACUUAAAAAUGAUCUCUAUCACUUGGACUUCACAAAGCUCUCAUCUCUUCCUUACUCUACCAGAUCUCAAGUCAACUGCUUUGUAGCUCAUUCUUCCCCUGAUGUAAGCCUGUGGCAUGCUAAGUUAGGGCAUCCUUGUAAUAGUGUCCUUAGUUCAGUCCUUAAGGCUAUGCAUAUAAUUGUUAAAAUUUCAUGGUAAGAAGUUUCCCUGAGGAUUAUGGAAAAGAUGGACACUGUUUUUCAUUUGUUGCUCAUUCUAACUUAAAUCCUUAAUGGAAAAGAGGAUUAUGGUAAGAAGUCCAGUUGGAUUUACAUGUUAUAAGUGCUUGCAGAUAUAUGGACAGGAUACAUCUGGUGUUCAAUCGAUGGUUAACAUCUAUCCAGAGCCGGUGACGAGUCCUGGUUUUUCUUCUCCUUCGAGCUUAUGCCUUGUGGCUCGCAGCAUAAGUCAGGUAUUUGUUAUUGUUGUUAGUCUAGUCAUGUUGAAGUAGGCAUGUCUUAUCCGUGUUACUAUGAAUACCUCGAGUUGAGUAUCUCUCAUGAAGAUGAAGUGGUUGCAAUAGAAGGAUUUCAUUCACUCGAAGAGUUGAAAGGCAUAAGUUUUAUCCCUCCUUUGUAGUGAAAAUGAGGAAUGAGUAAGGGUCAAAUUCUAUUUUGUAGGAAAUAAGGGAAAAGAAAUGAAGGAUUUAAAAGGUGAAAUUUUGUUUAUCCCUCAUUUUCCAAUGAUAAAUUUACAACCAAAGAGAACGCACCCAAAAGGAAAUUCACUUUAAAUGUGUGUGAGAGGAGAGGAUAUCAUGAUUUGCACAAUUUCUCAAGAUUUAAACAUCAAUUCAAGUUGUAAACAUCUCCAAGAAAAAUUUCAAUGCCAAAAGAAAAAUUAUUAGCACCAAAUGCAAACAUCCACAACAUUUUUUUGUAAACGUACGAAAGCAUUUGCAUUUACAAUGCCAAAAGCAAAAUUACCUUGUAAUAUACCAACAUCGCACAGCCCUUGAAUAAUCCAAGCGUUAGAGACAAAAGAAAAGCUGAGAGUAGAUUGAGACCUCUCUCAAUUUUGAGCACAAACUUUCUUAACAAUCUCUUGCAAUUUCUCAUCUUUACCUUCUCCAAUUCUUAGUUCAUCAUGCAAAGCAUAAAUGAUAUCGGAAUUAACCACGAAUUCUCUCCUGCACAUCUCCUCCAAGAAAGGAAUCGCCUCAUGCACCUUUUUGCUCUUCACCAGAUUCCACACAAUAAUAUUGAACGUCACACCAUUAGGCGCGCAGCCGCUCCUCUCCAUCUCCUCCAUCAACCUCCUAGCCUCCCCUUCUCGCCCUUCAUUGUAGAGGGAGUCGAGCAUCAUGCUGUAGAUUUGUACGUUCGGAUUUAAGCCAUUGGAACGGAGAUGGUUGAAGAGCCUUAUAGCUUCAUCAAGUCUUUGGCCCUUGCACAAGCCGUUGAUCAGAACACCGUACGUUACGAUAUCAGGAUUCACGCCUUUCGCCUCCAUCACCCUCAAAAAUGCCAACGCCUCACUAAUCCGAUGGAUCCUACAAAAGCCAUCCAACAAAAUGGUGUAGGUGUGGGGAUCCGGAUGUAUAUUAUGAGCUUCCAUUUCUUGGAAAAGCUUCCACCCAUCUGAAAAACUACUUAGGCGUAUUAGCCCAUGCAUCAUCGUGUUGUAUGAUACAGUCGAGUGUUGGAGACCUACGCGCGAAAUUUCAUCGAAGAAACGCCAUGCUUCAUCAAGGUUUCCCGCCUUGCAGUAUCCCUUAAUCAAGAUACAAUAGGUGAAUAUAUUGCGAUUGAUCCCCGUCUCUGCCAUAGAAUAGAAAAGCUCUCUAGCUCUAACCAUCUCGCCAUGCGAGCAAUAUCCAUCUAUCAAUAUGCUGCAGGUGACAACAUUAGGCGAGAUGCCCUUCUCCACCAUCUCGGACAGCAGCUGCAGAGCUUCAUCAACCUUCCCACUCUUCGACAACCCAUCCAAUAAUGUAUUAUAAGUGUGCACAUCAUGCUGGAGACCUUUAUCGGGAAUUUCAAGAAAAAUAAGCCAAGCUUCAUCCAUGCUUCCCUUCUUGCAAUAUCCAUUUAACAAGGUGUUGUAGUUAACAAUAUUGGGUUUAAGGCCCCUCUCUACGAUGGAAUCAAGUAACUGUUUCGCUCUUCCGAUUUCACCCUUUAGGCAGAGCCCUUCAAUAAGCGAAGAAUAAGUGAAGGCAUUCGGACAAAUAUGUUGUUGCAUCAUAAUUUCCAGCAUAUUCUCAGCCUCUUCCAUCUUUUCUUCCUUACAGUAUGCAUUAAUAAUGGAACUAUAAGUGACAACGUCAGGUAAAAUACCAUUCCCAACCAUUUUGGAUAGAACCUUGAAGGCAUUGUCCACCAUUCCGCCCUUGCAAAAUCCAUCAAUUAGUGCACUAUAAGUGUAAACGUCGAGACUCCACCCACUACUUUCUAAUCUAUGAAGCCAAUCAUGGGCUUCAAUGACCUGUCCAG